GACGAACGCUGGCGGCGUGCCUAAUACAUGCAAGUCGAGCGGACAGAAGGGAGCUUGCUCCCGGAAGUUAGCGGCGGACGGGUGAGUAACACGUGGGCAACCGACCCUGUAGAUCGGGAUAACAUCGAGAAAUCGGUGCUAAUACCGGAUAAUCAUUUGAAGUGCAUGCUUCGAAUGUAAAAGAUGGCUCCGGCUAUCACUACGGGACGGGCCCGCGGGGCAUUAGCUAGGUGGUAAGGUAAUGGCUUACCAAGGCAACGAAGCGGAGCCGAGCUGAGAGGGUGAUCGGCCACACUGGGACUGAGACACGGCCCAGACUCCUACGGGAGGCAGCAGUAGGGAAUCUUCCGCAAUGGACGAAAGUCUGACGGAGCAACGCCGCGUGAGUGAUGAAGGUUUUCGGAUCGUAAAGCUCUGUUGUUAGGGAAGAACGAGUGCCGUUUGAAUAAGGCGGCACCUUGACGGUACCUAACCAGAAAGCCACGGCUAACUACGUGCCAGCCGCCGCGGUAAGAC
rnacentral:rRNA from 1 species